GGGUGAGGAUGUGCGUGGAUCCUGGAGGAGGCAGAGAAGACAGUGAGCUUGCCAGUUCUGGUUUCCAACACUUUUCCUUUCCUGCGCUUCUCCAUUCCCAGAUCUGCACCC
ensembl:miRNA